AAGUGUUAACCAAGACCCUAUCUUCAAGAACUACAGCUUGCCUCCUAAUGAAGUUGGAUACCCCGGCGGUAUUUUCAACCCACUCAACUUUGCACCAACUGCUGAGGCCAAAGAAAAGGAAAUUGCUAAUGGUAAGUCCAACUACCACAACCCUGUUAUAUUUCACGCACACUAAACUUUAUCCACUGUAACAAUGAAAUAACAAAACUAAUUUUUUCACGUGAAGUAACUGAACUUUGUCUACUAUAAUAGUAGCAUCACUAACUUUCACAUGGAUAAUAUGUACCAUCACUAAACUUUAUCCACUGUAACAAUAAAAUAACAAAACUAAUUUUUUCACAUGAAGUAACUGAACUUUAUCUACUAUAAUAGUAACAUCGCUAACUUUCACAUGGAUAAUAUGCAGGGAGAUUGGCAAUGUUGGCAUUUUUGGGAUUCAUAGUGCAGCACAAUGUAGUAGGAAAGGGACCCUUUGACAACCUUCUGCAGCACCUCUCAGACCCAUGGCACAACACCAUUGUUCAAACACUCAGCAACUAGAAAACCUCGUGGAAACUGGAUUGAAUAUAUUGUUACCCUUGUAACCAUGUUAUGGUUUUUGAUCAAGAAUAGAGCUUUGUGGUAAACAAGGAACCUUUAAUGUACAGGGCAUUUAAAAUUGCAUGUCUUAUUCGUGUUAUUCCCAAUAGAUCAUCAGUAUAUAAAGAGGAAGAAAAGCCCCCUUUAGCUAGUUCUCGAUUCUCAUCGAGAGUUGGAUUUGGUAUAAGGGAAAAGCUUUCUUGUAGUAGUUCAGUUUGCAUCUGAAUUGCAGAAGAAAUCCUCGUAAUUUAUUGAAGCAAAGUGAAAUAAGUCUUGGUCUCAAAU
rnacentral:lncRNA from 1 species